ACGACGCGCAAUUGACUCUCCGCGGUACAGCGGAUAUGAGGCCGCCGCGCUUGCCUGAGAUAGAACUCCGCGAGGCAGCGCGCGCUCACGAUUUCGGU
rnacentral:sRNA from 1 species